rnacentral:lncRNA from 1 species
CGACAUGGCGCCUGUUGUUUGAGAGUGAAGUAAUUGGACGAUCAGGAUGGGGACAGCGGGGCGGCCGUGGGGCUGUUCCUGGGGCUUCUUCUUGUGACUGGAGGGUGGAGGAACAAGUGGGGUCCUGGAGGCAGGGGAGGCGGGGGCUCGGGCCGCCCCGGUGGUGCUGACCUUGCUGGGUUCUCAGCGCAGCCUCGAGACCUCUCACACUCAGCUCCUCAGCCCCGUGCCACAGGCAGUGCUGCCUUCGAUGCUGCCUGCCCAUUGCCCUGAAGACCCAGCCCCUUCCUCUGGCACAUUAUCGCAUGUCCGGGUCCUUAGACACCUGUUGUACAGUGGCACUGGCUGGAGGACUGGACAGAGCCCACCUUGCUUUGGCCCCCUGGCCACUGUCAUCCCUUCCAGCUCUGCCCCCGCCCCUGCCUUGCCAGGAGCCUGGCCUCAUCCACCCACCUUGCUGAACCAUUGCAUAGCUACAGUCUUACCUCCUGUGUACACUCCCAUCAAACUUAAACAGACCCCUCUCGGCCAGCAUCCUGCAGCGGCUCCACGCUGCCUACCCCGGGGGAGCCCAGAGCCUCACGUCGCAUCUGCCAUCUGCCACCUGCCACGGAGGCCAGGCACGGCCUCACCCACCACCACACCUGCUCUGCUCGGCCUCCCCUUUGUCUCGGCAGGUGCCCUAUCUGCCCUCGCACCUCUGCUCACGCCAGCCUCUUGCCUGGAGAGAAAAGCUUCUCCAUUUCUCUUAGUGAAAUCCUUCUUAUCCCACGCGCGGCCCCAACCUCACAUCUGCCACGAAGCCUUCCCGCCGCACCCCAGGCUCCCACGAUCUGUCAACUUCAAACGGCUCCAGAGCUUAUUGUCUGGGACAGCCCUUUUGAUCCUUAAUAACAUGCUUUGUGAUUUUCCCCGGCACACACACAGCUGAACAGUGUAUUCUUUGAGAGCAGGGCACGCCUGCGGUCCCUGUUUCUUGCAGACGUCUCUGCUUCACUGGCAUAGCAGUUUCCAAGCCUCCACAGAG